rnacentral:lncRNA from 1 species
GAUCUCUGUAUUGAGAAUCUAGUACUCGCCCUAAUACUAAAUCUUGAAAAUUCGCAAUCCGCUCUGAUACCGACUGCUGUAAAUAUAAUACCAGUUGUUUGGAUUCUGCAACGGAAGCAUCAUAUUAGGUUUUUACCAUAAAACCGUCUCCUUGGCAAAAACUGAUAUAACCACAAAAGAGAGAAAAAAAACAGAAAAUAUGAGGAUGAAAUAAAAUUUAUUAAUUAAAAGAAGACUAUACAUGACUCUUCUUCUGCAUUGAGUAUCUUCAAUCCGAGCAUUCUUUCUGAUUCUCUCCUACCUUUCACUCUCUUCUAUAAUCCAAAUAGAAUACUUCUCUCUCACCAUGUAUACCAAUGCACAAAGUAUAAUAAUAACCCACGACCAUGAGAGCCGCACACAUCCUUUUGCACCCAUGCACUAGGUGCAUCCAAAAGCAUGACCAUCUUGGCCAUGCCAUAUAGGUGUGGCUAAGUCGUACCACUACCACCAAAAUAAUAGCACCUAUGCUAUAUUUAUAGUUUACAUCCAAAGCUACUCAAAUCCUAGUCCAAUUAGAUUUAUACUAUUUUUAAUAUUUAAAUCUUAAUACUUUAUAUCCAAAAUAUUUAAAUAUGAAUCCUAAUCCAACUAGGAUUCAACUACAAAUCUAACAAAAUCCUAACACUUUGAGGGGAAGAAUUUCUCUAUCACUAAC